UCGUAGGUGACCUGCGGAAGGAUCAUUGCACACACACACAUUUUGCCAACCCCUUUGCGAACUUUACCAUUGUCCCCUUUUUACCCAACCCAAGUCUCUAAACCAAACCCGGCGGGGGCACUCGCUGGGUUUGGAUGGCUGAAUCAAACACGGCGAGGGGCCCCGACCCGUGUUUUGAUUUGGCCUGCAAGAGACUUGGUGUUUUGGGUUUCCAAACAAUUACUAUUGGAUGGCGCAAUGCAUCACUUUCAAAUAUAUGACUGAGACCAUGCCGCCAUCGAGAAUUUCGCGGCGGGGGCACCACCACCACCACUUUCACCCACAGCCACCCACCCGGGACUUUGGGAGUGUGAGUGCGUGGUGCCACCCCCGAGUUCUUCGAGUUGUCAAGUGGUGAUAAAAAACCGAAACAACUCUCAGCAACGGAUAUCUUGGCUCCUGCAACGAUGAAGAACGCAGCGAAAUGCGAUACGUAGUGUGAAUUGCAGAAUUCCGCGAAUCAUCGAGUCUUUGAACGCAAGUUGCGCCCGAGGCUUGUCCUGGGGCAUUUCUGACAGAGCGUCACCGCGACACCCACCGACCCCCCCACUCCUUGCCGCCGGAGUGAGUGGGGGCCGAGUGGAACUGGCCGUCCCAGAGCGCCGCCGCAAGCGGCGGCGACUGGGUUGGCUGAAAUGGAGUUUUGGAACCUUGGCCCCGCCGCGGCGACACAGCCCGCGAUCAGGUGAUCUUGGAACGAGAACUAAGUGUAAAUGGGGGUGUUGGUUGGCUGGCGAGUGUUGGGAUUCCGAAGAAAAGCAGGCAGGCCCCUUUCCAGGAAGGUUCGUCACGCAUCGAGACCUCUGAUUCAGAAAAGA
rnacentral:rRNA from 1 species